GACAGAGGGGGCAAGCGUUGCUCGGAAUCACUGGGCGUAAAGGGCGCGUAGGCGGGGUGGCAAGUCAGUCGUGAAAUCUCUCGGCUCAACCGAGAAACGUCGGCUGAUACUGCCGUUCUUGAGGGAUGCAGAGGAGACUGGAAUUCCCGGUGUAGCGGUGAAAUGUGUAGAGAUCGGGAGGAACACCGGUGGCGAAGGCGGGUCUCUGGGCAUCUCCUGACGCUGAGGCGCGAAAGCGUGGGGAGCGAACAGG
rnacentral:rRNA from 1 species